CCUACGGGCGGCUGCAGUGGGGAAUAUUGGACAAUGGGCGAAAGCCUGAUCCAGCCAUGCCGCGUGUGUGAAGAAGGCCUUCGGGUUGUAAAGCACUUUCAGUGGGGAAGAAAGCCUUGGGGCUAAUACCCUCGAGGAAGGACAUCACCCACAGAAGAAGCACCGGCUAACUCCGUGCCAGCAGCCGCGGUAAUACGGAGGGUGCGAGCGUUAAUCGGAAUUACUGGGCGUAAAGCGCGCGUAGGCGGUCUGAUAAGCCGGUUGUGAAAGCCCCGGGCUCAACCUGGGAACGGCAUCCGGAACUGUCAGGCUAGAGUGCAGGAGAGGAAGGUAGAAUUCCCGGUGUAGCGGUGAAAUGCGUAGAGAUCGGGAGGAAUACCAGUGGCGAAGGCGGCCUUCUGGACUGACACUGACGCUGAGGUGCGAAAGCGUGGGUAGCAAACAGGAUUAGAUACCCUUGUCGUC
rnacentral:rRNA from 1 species